rnacentral:lncRNA from 1 species
GAGCUACAGCCAGAAGUUACAAAAAAGAUUCCACAAUGACUCCAGACCUGACUGCUUUCUUUGAUUCUAAGGGAAAAGAAGAAUUUAAAAAUAAGGAAGAAUGCAGCUCCCAGUCCAGCCCCAGCAAGCCACAGGGAGGUGUGAGAGACUGCUGAGAAGAAAACCUUGGAAAAUGUUUUCCCCCUUGAAGGAGGCACAAACCAAGAGAAAUAUGGCAUCUGAUAUCCAGGACAUAGAAGGAAUCAAUGCAGAGCAAGGAAACUAA